UACGUAGGGUGCAAGCGUUAAUCGGAAUCACUGGGCGUAAAGCGCACGUAGGCGGAUUGCUAAGUCAGGGGUGAAAUCCUGGAGCUCAACUCCAGAACUGCCUUUGAUACUGGCGAUCUUGAGUCCGGGAGAGGUGAGUGGAACUGCGAGUGUAGAGGUGAAAUUCGUAGAUAUUCGCAAGAACACCAGUGGCGAAGGCGGCUCACUGGCCCGGUGCUGACGCUGAGGUGCGAAAGCGUGGGGAGCAAACAGG
rnacentral:rRNA from 1 species